UACGAAGGGUGCAAGCGUUACUCGGAAUUACUGGGCGUAAAGCGUGCGUAGGUGGUUUGUUAAGUCUGAUGUGAAAGCCCUGGGCUCAACCUGGGAAUUGCAUUGGAUACUGGCAGGCUAGAGUGCGGUAGAGGGUAGUGGAAUUCCCGGUGUAGCAGUGAAAUGCGUAGAUAUCGGGAGGAACACCAGUGGCGAAGGCGGCUUCCUGGACUAAAACUGACACUGAGGCACGAAAGCGUGGGUAGCAAACAGG
rnacentral:rRNA from 1 species